rnacentral:lncRNA from 1 species
AAUGAUGGGAAUGGGAAAAAUGGGAUUGGGAUUUCAUGGUCCAGGAGCAGCCGGACCAGGGGCAGGGAGUCGUCGAUGCAGCUCUGGGAAUGCGGGAAUGGGAAUGGUGGGAAUGGUGGGAAUGGUGGGAAUGGGAUUGGGAAUAAUGGGAAUGAGAAUGGUGGGAAUGCAGGAAUGGGAAUGAUGGGAUUGGGAAUGCAGGAAUGGGAAUGAUGGGAUUGGGAAUGAUGGGAUUGGGAAUGAUAGGAUUGGGAAUGAUGGGAUUGGGAUUUCAUGGUCCAGGAGGAGACGGACCACGGGAAUCGUCGAUGCAGCUCUGGGAAUGUGGGAAUGGGAAUGGUGGGAAUGGUGGGAAUGUGGGAAUGUGGGAAUGUGGAAAUGGUGGGAUUGGGAAUGGUGGGAAUGGGAAUGGUGGGAUUGGGAUUUCAUGGUCCAGGAGCAGCCGGA